AACGGCAAGCGUCCUUCNGGGACGCCUAUAAGUGGCGAACGGGUGAGUAACACGUAGGUGAUCUGCCCUUGAGUUGGGGAUAGCCCAUGGAAACAUGGGGUAAUACCGAAUACGCUCCGGAUGCUGUGGCAACCGGAGGAAAAGCGCUUCGGCGCUGCUCGAGGAUGAGCCUGCGGCUGAUUAGCUAGUUGGUAGGGUAACGGCCUACCAAGGCGACGAUCAGUAGCCGGCCUGAGAGGGUGAGCGGCCACACUGGGACUGAGAUACGGCCCAGACUCCUACGGGAGGCAGCAGCUAAGAAUCUUCUGCAAUGGGGGAAACCCUGACAGAGCGACGCCGCGUGGGUGAUGAAGGCCGGAARGUUGUAAAGCCCUUUUCUAUUCGAGGAAUAACCGCCUGAGGCAAUGCAGGCGGGAUGACGGUAGGGKAGGAAUAAGCCCCGGCCAAUUACGUGCCAGCAGSCGCGGUAACACGUAUSGGGCGAGCGUUSUUCGGAAUCAUUGGGCGUAAAGGGCGCGUAGGCGGAUAUGCAAGCUUGGUGUGAAAGACCGCASCUCAACUGCGGGAGSGCGCUGRGAACUGKSUAUCUAGAGKUCAAGRDGGGGAGCUG
rnacentral:rRNA from 1 species